rnacentral:rRNA from 1 species
ACGGGAGGCAGCAGUGAGGAAUAUUGGACAAUGGAUGGAAGUCUGAUCCAGCCAUGCCGCGUGAAGGAUUGAUGCCCUACGGGUUUUGAACUUCUUUUGUACGGGGGCAAUAAGGUCCACGCGUGGACCGAUGAGAGUACCGUACGAGUAAGCAUCGGCUAACUCCGUGCCAGCAGCCGCGGUAAUACGGAGGAUGCGAGCGUUAUCCGGAUUUAUUGGGUUUAAAGGGUGCGUAGGCGGUUGGCCAAGUCAGCGGUGAAAUCCGGGGGCUCAACCCGGGAACUGCCGUUGAAACUGGCGGGCUUGAAUGGUGCCGCCGCAGGCGGAAUGUGUGGAGUAGCGGUGAAAUGCAUAGAUAUCACACAGAACACCGAUUGUGGAGACAGCAUGCGAGACACAUAUUGACGCUGAGGCACGAAGGUGCGGGGAUCGAACAGGAUUAGAUACCCUGGUA